AUUGAACGCUGGCGGCAGGCCUAACACAUGCAAGUCGAACGGUAACAGGAAGAAGCUUGCUUCUUUGCUGACGAGUGGCGGACGGGUGAGUAAUGUCUGGGAAACUGCCUGAUGGAGGGGGAUAACUACUGGAAACGGUAGCUAAUACCGCAUAACGUCGCAAGACCAAAGAGGGGGACCUUCGGGCCUCUUGCCAUCGGAUGUGCCCAGAUGGGAUUAGCUAGUAGGUGGGGUAACGGCUCACCUAGGCGACGAUCCCUAGCUGGUCUGAGAGGAUGACCAGCCACACUGGAACUGAGACACGGUCCAGACUCCUACGGGAGGCAGCAGUGGGGAAUAUUGCACAAUGGGCGCAAGCCUGAUGCAGCCAUGCCGCGUGUAUGAAGAAGGCCUUCGGGUUGUAAAGUAAUUUCAGCGGGGAGGAAGGGAGUAAAGUUAAUACCUUUGCUCAUUGACGUUACCCGCAGAAGAAGCACCGGCUAACUCCGU
rnacentral:rRNA from 1 species